rnacentral:tRNA from 1 species
GGAGGGGUGGGAGAGCGGUUUAAUCCAGCUGACUUGAAAUCAGCCGAUGUCGCAAGGCAUCCGCGAGUUCGAAUCUCGCCCCCUCCGCCA